ACAUGCCUACAACAUAGCGUUAAUGCACUGUAUCCCAUUAGAACUUCGUAGUUAAGCGUGCUCGGUCUAGAGUAGUACCGGGAUAGCUGACCACCUGGGAAGUCCUAGUAUUUUACAUGCC
rnacentral:rRNA from 1 species